GGAGGCAAUUUAGAUAGCAGCUUUGUGGACUCUACACAGUCGAGAUAGUGAUUGUUCUUUACAUCAGGAGUCCGCAAAGAGGAAAGUCCGGACACUCCUCCGACUUAGGUCGGAGAGCAGGGUAGCGGGUAAUACCCGUCGUUCGAAAGAAUAGAGGUGCGAGCAGUGACGCUCUGUUUAGAAAUAUGCAGAGAGGCCCGAUCCCAACGUAGAUGGUCUAAUCCCGCCAUAGGGGCAAAAAGCGGGAGUGAAACGGCUAAAUCCUUACCUGAGUGCAAGGCCGUGCUCCGACUUCGGUCGGAGAGAGCCGCACGAGCUUGAGAGUAAUCGAUGGCCUAGAUAGAUUGCUAUCAUCCGACCACGCGUCGGAUUACAGAAUCCGGCUUAUUAAUUGCCUCCCUGC
rnacentral:RNase_P_RNA from 1 species